rnacentral:lncRNA from 1 species
UUCGAGUGUUUGGUGGUUGAUUUCCUUCCAAUUUCCAAAGACGUGAUUUUCAAUUUUCAUUCCCUCGUUUUCUUCCUUCAUUCCUUUCCUGCGAUGGAUGAAGGAUACCGAUUUUACCCUUCGUAAUUUCGUUUAGAAACCAUGAAAAUCGCAACCUAUCUGCCAGACCACUGCAAUCGAUCCUAACAAGUGAACAAGAACUGCGGCAACAUUAUCGAUUUCUCCUAAUCGCAACCAAAUCAGCAUCCAAAUCGAAACGGAAGUAGCUUCUAAGAAUAGAUCGAUUCUCGAUUUCUAUAAAGCAUCUUCCAAUCCAUUUCAGAAAAAGCACAAUACAUGGAUCGUCUUUGAAGUGUUCUUCAUCAUCUCCAAGGUAUGCUAUUUUAUGAACUUUAUUGUUUUCCCCACUUAAAUGGUACUUGAAUUGACUUUUUCCAGUGCUAUUUGUUCAUCAAUCUCUGGAUUUCAGUGAAUGUUAGUAUGUUACUUGAAUUGAUGUCUUGUGUUGUUGUUUCCAAGUAAUUUCUAGUCAAGUGAACAUUUUGUACGAAUCAAAUUCUGCUUGGUUGGUUUCUAAUAUAAAAUUGAAGCAAGAAGGUUGUAUGCUUGAAUUUGUAUCUUGAUGAAUGCAAAAUGGAUAUGGUUAUAUCUGCAAUAGCUGAUAUGAAGUGUGAUUUAGUGGAAGAUUUUGUCUCAAAUAACUUACGAUUCAAUUCAAAAUAUAUAUUUUUUGGUUGACAAAAAAUCUGUUGUAUGUGGAUUCAGGUGAUGUUUGAAAUUCAAUGGUGGAGUUCUGUUAUGCAAAAUGAUAAAUUUAUCAUAUAUAUAUAUAUAUAUAUAUAUAUANNNNNNNNNNNNNNNNNNNNNNNNNNNNNNNNNNNNNNNNNNNNNNNNNNNNNNNNNNNNNNNNNNNNNNNNNNNNNNNNNNNNNNNNNNNUAUAUAUAUAUAUAUAUAUUAGUUCUUGUGGGAUUUUACAAUAUUGGAUUAUAAAUUUACCAAAAAAUGAAACUGUAUCUUUCUCUUUUCGUAGAUAUGACAUGUGGAUUGCAAAAGCAACAUAACAUCUUUUUGUCCUAUAAUCUGAGCUUUUUCCCAGUGAAGAAAAUGAGGAGGGCAUUAAUGUCUUUUAACAAGUGAGAGAUCAAGAGCAAAUCCUAACAUUGGUGGUUUGCUUCUUUACAAAUUACACAUGGCUGAUCAGUUAUUUGUGCAAUGGCCACAAUUACAAAAACAAUAUCCUCGAGCUCAUUAUGUGGGACGUCUUAUGUAACCAUUUUGUUUUUGUAUAAACAACUUAAUUCAAAAGGACAUUUUAAGUGUAGGUAUGUUUUUUAUUUAUUUAUCUAUUUAAUAGUGUUUGAAAUAUAGAUAUGUAUCACUAUAGACAUGUGUUAUUAUGAUUUUUUGUUUAUAUGUGAACUCUGUAUUUCAAUUUAGACUAAUACCAAUACAUCGAAUAGCAUGUUUGUUAAUUAGGAUCAAAAAUAGUGUAAUGGUUUGGAGAUGAGUUAUUGUUUACACCAGAAAAUAAUGACAACUUAUUGUUGCAAAAAUGGUGUAAUAAGACCAUGGCACGGCUGAGGCCGUACUCCCCCUUGCCACAUAAGCACAAACACCGCCCCCUAGGUGCGGUCCAGGUGCAGCUGAGGGAGCGAUACGGCUCUCGAAGGGAGCGGUCCUUGGUUGAAUGUGAUUGGUCAGCCACUUUGACUGUUGCAAACGGUCAUAAUUUGGGUUUUAAUUUUUUUUCUUUUAACCUUUAACAUCUAUUUAAACCUCUCAACCCUUUAUUUUUGUUUAUCUUUCUACUACAUUACCUCUCAAAAAAAAUCAAAAAAAUCCUUUCGUUCGAUUCUUCUGAAAAAUUUGAUGUUAUGUUUGAUGUUUUGUCGUUGCUGUUAAAUUAAGCGGCAUGCAAUAGGACAUCCGACAGUGCUGAAAAGAGAACCCGAAGAUUUAUUUGUAGAAAUCGUGAAGAUGCAAACCAACAUCUGAUACAAGACUACUUUCAAGAAAAUGCUAAAUGUUCAAACCAUUGUACGAUCGUAUAGUCGAAGAUCUAACGAGGUAGUGUGAUUUUUUCGAGAAAUGACCUGAUGCUAGAGGUACACCCGGUUUCACCCCUUUACAAAAAUCCACAGCUACACUUCGUCAAUUAGCAUAUGACAUCCCUCUUGAUGCAUUGGACAAGAGUUUUAGGAUGUCAGCUAGGACUGCACGAGAUAGUCUAAUAUUUUUGCAAAACUAUUAUUCAGUUUUAUGAUCCAAAAUAUUUACGUAAGCC